rnacentral:sRNA from 1 species
CUUCCUCGAUCUGCUGCGGGCAGAUGAAAUGGAUAUGGGCGUCCAUGCCGCCAGCCGUGAGAAUGCGGCCCUCGCCGGCGAUCGCCUCGGUGCCUGGUCCGAUGAUGAUGUCGACGCCAGGCUGGGUAUCGGGAUUGCCCGCCUUGCCGAUCGCGGCGAUCCGCCCGUCCUUCAGGCCGACAUCGGCUUUGACGAUGCCCCAAUGAUCGAUGAUGAGCGCGUUGGUGAUGACGGUGUCCACCGCGCCUUCGGCGCGGCUCAGCUGGCUCUGCCCCAUGCCAUCGCGGAU